rnacentral:rRNA from 1 species
UACGGGGGGGGCAAGCGUUGUUCGGAAUUACUGGGCGUAAAGGGCUCGUAGGUGGCCAACUAAGUCAGACGUGAAAUCCCUCGGCUUAACCGGGGAACUGCGUCUGAUACUGGAUGGCUUGAGAUUGGGAGAGGGAUGCGGAAUUCCAGGUGUAGCGGUGAAAUGCGUAGAGAUCGGGAGGAACACCAGAGGCGAAGGCGGCAACCUGGACAAGCACUGACACUCAACUGCGAAAGCGUGGGGAGCAAACAGG